rnacentral:rRNA from 1 species
UACAGAGGUGCCAAGCGUUAGGCGGAAUCACUGGGCUUAAAGCGUGUGUAGGCGGGCGGGCAAGUACCUUGUGAAAUCCCACGGCUCAACCGUGGAACUGCUGGGUAUACUGCCUGUCUUGAGCCAGCCAGGGGCAGUCGGAACAGACGGUGGAGCGGUGAAAUGCGUAGAUAUCGUCUGGAACGCCAAAGGUGAAAACAGACUGCUGGGGCUGUGCUGACGCUGAGACACGAAAGCCAGGGGAGCGAACGGG